rnacentral:sRNA from 1 species
AUAGAAGCGAAGAAGAGAAGAGUAAAUAAGGAUUUUUUCUACAGAGAGCUAGGGUAGGUGAAAGCUAGUGUAAAAUGAAUUAUUGAAGAUGGCCUCGGAGCUUUUUAUCCGAAUAAUAGUAUUAUUACUAUUUUUAAGAUAAAACGAUUAGACCCGUUAUAGUCUACUAAGAUAUCU